rnacentral:lncRNA from 1 species
GCGACACCGCGCGCCCGGCUGCACGCAGGCUCUGCGCGGCUCGAGGCGGCCCUACAGGGGGCGAGGAGGAACCCCGGAGACUCGGCGGAGAGAGCAGAGACGGAGCUCACCAAGGGGCUUGCCGCCGCAGAGCGCGGGAGCCGGCACUCGGGGUACUUAACCGAAACUAGCAAUCCCAGGCGGUACAAGGCCCUCCAUCGUAGGCAAAGCACUACCUGAAUGUAGAUUUGGGCCAUACGUUGGAAAAUAAGACAUGAGAGUAUGCUCCGAUCAACUUUUACUGUUCACUGGACAACUAUUUUGGGAAUUUGCAGACCUAUAAAGCCCAUCUAUAAAUCUCAAGCAUGUCCACUUUCAGAGAAGAGAAAUGCUGACAACCAUUUAGUCUCUGAGGACAACACUUUUAAAGUGUAACAAUGUGGCAUCCAGAGCUUAUCCAGAUGAGCGGAGAGCAAAUGAAUUUCCUUCUGCUCCCCUGUUGAAGAGGAGAGAAAAAUUCUUCAAGCUGACUCCAUCAUAGGACUGGAGAGAGAUUGGAUGUCAGAGUGAUUGAUGUGCUCCUACUGGAAGAAGGCAAACAUCCAUAUGUGAACUGCCUGUGGGGUUUCCAAGGAAAGGAACGGCAGGCAGCCUCUAUGAGCUUAAAGAAGAUAACUGGGACUUUAGUCCUAUAACCUCAAGGAACAGUAUUCUGUGAACCAUCUGAGAAGCUUGGAAGAGGACCCCAAACUCCAAAUAAGAAGCUCAGUGUGUCUGACACCUUGACUGCAGGCUUGGGAGGUCCUGAGCAGAAGAUCCAGUUCAACAGUGCCUGGACUCCUGAUCCACAAAAACUGAUAACAAAUAUUUAUUGUUUUAAGAUGCUAAGUUUGUAGUCAUUUUUUAUACAGCAACAGAAAACUAAACACACACAUAAACAGUUAUAAGUGCUCACUGUAUAUGAGGCUUUUCAUUAAUAAUCUAUAUUUUAUAAUAGAAUUAGAAUAUAGAUCUGUGAAGCUGAAGACACUCAAUCCUUGCUAGAUUUAAAUCAGGAAAAUCAGCUGAGAAUCAUUCCUUGAUAGAACCUGGAAAACAAGACCCUAUGAGAGACCCUGGGAAUUACAUUAAAUUCACUGUGGUUCCCAGUGUCACUGAAGAGGUUUUCCUUUCAUAGUCAGGUAGUCACCAUACUGUUAAGCAUUUGAACACAUGGGCAACUUCCAGAAUAGUUAUGACAUUGAUAUACCAAUCUCCAAAAUUCCUAGAAUACCAUGUUUUCAUGGUUGACCUUCAAAUCAGUCAGUUCUUUGUAACAUUGAGCCAUAAAGAUAGGGCAAAUACUUAAUGUUUUACAUAUAUUCAGAGAUUGACCCUCAAAAUACAGCCCAGAGAAACUCAAAAGAAUUAACUCUAUUUCUUCAAAUUGUGUGACGCCACCAAGGCCAGAUGACUUCAGCAUUGGGAAGGCAAUAUCCAGCUGUCAUCUUCUUGAUCCUCAUAUGCUACUACUAGCAUCUAGCAUUUACUGAGCAGAUAGUUUUAUUGUCCAGUUUUUAAAGAUAAGAAAAUUGAGGUAUUAGGAAAGUUAAGUUGGUUGCCUAGGGAAACACGAAGAUAUAGCCCAGAUUCACUCCCAGGCAGGCAGAUGCCAGUGUCUGCUCUCUUUACCACCGAAAUAUCCUGCUACAUGUACAAUUUCAAUAAAUAUCUGGACUUACUGGAACAAAACAAAUCAACAACAUUCUUAUUUUCUUUCUUCAGUUUAGAUUAAAUAAUUUAAAUGUCUUCUUAAGAAGCUACAGUUUUUUG